GGGCCUACAAGCAGCGGCUCUUCCCUCAAUUCCUCUCCCUUUCUAUCCUGCGCCUCCCCCCUCUCCUGCUCCUGCCCUUGUCGCCGCCCUCCUCCCCUCUGCGCCAGCAGCUGCAGACCUCCUCGUUCCUCGCCGCCGUCGAGUCGUCGCAGGAACGAUCCCCCGCGGGCGUAGAUGGCGGUGAACCCUCGCGUGUUCUUGGACAUCACCAUCGGCGGUAUCCAGCAGGAUCGGGUCGAGAUAGAUCUGUACAGGGACGAGGUCCCCUUGGUGGCUGAAAACUUCCGCAUCCUCUGCACCAAGGAUAGACCGGUCUCGUUCAAGGACUCCAUCUUCCCGUACAUCAUUCGAGACUUGGUGUGCCAAGGCGGCAACUUGAAGGAACGCGACGGCACCCGCUUCGGGACCAUCUACGGCGAUAAGUUCCCCGACGUAGAGAUGUCGGGACGAAGGCAUAGGCCAUUUGACCUCAUCACGGCCCACGCAGUCCCCAAGAUUCCAAGGAAGCACACCGGUCCCUACCCCUACACCUGUGGAUCGCAGUUCUUCAUCUGCUUCAAAGCGGCCCCCAUUUUUGACGAUCAGCACGUCGUCUUUGGCACCGUCGCAACUGGCAGGAAGACUGUCUUGAACAUGAGCGCCGCCGGCUCCUGCAGCGGGAUCCCCACGCAGGUGGUCAAGGUCGUCGAUUGCGGUCAGAUCUGGUAGAUCUCCGUCUAUUGCAUCUGCAGCUUGGUGGCGUUGGGCGGACACUGUGGCACGGGGGAGCAUCUGAUCAGAAUUUGGAGGUGAAAUGGCCACGACAAGCGCUCUGGCACUUUGGAUAGUUCAACACGUUCAGAAAAUUCAAUGCAUCAGAGCCCCCCAAGAAAAACAGUUUGCUUUUGCGAAUGAAGAGUUGAGUCUAAUGUCAAUUUCUCUUUGCAUUGCUAUCGUUGGAGCUAUUGGUGAGUUGGCAAGAACGCUAUUUGCUCUGUAUUGCAGUGACUUCCUUUCUUGGGUAUGAACAUAGCAUAGCUUCUGCUACUGUCGUUUUCAGGUUUAAUACCACAUAAUUUUUGUUAUGCUUCUGUAUUCUAACUAGGAAUAAAUUAAUAAAUGGGUGGUUAGGAUCUUUAAUUGAGGUGAAUUUGACCUGCCAGAUGGAUUGCAGAUCACUGCCUGUAUGUUCUUUGGCAACUUCUCAUAUGAUAUUUCUUUAUUAUUAUA